CUCUUGUGCUUAGUCGUGCCAAAUGAAAACGGCAGUUAUAUUUGAACCUGCUUAGGCGGGUGUUACUAUAGUAACAAUAAAAAGAAUUACAAUAUACUAUGUUGUAGAAUAUAACAUAGAGUAAUGUUUUUCAUUUGUGCUCUUAUGUAGCUAAUUAGGCUUACAUUGUUAGCACAUUUCUGUAAGCAUCUAUUUUUUUUGCCGGGAAACAGCAAGCCGGCUACUGCUAUAUAAACGGAUACAACGAAGCAGACCGCAUCCAUUGAGAAAGCCGCCGAAGCGGAGAAACGCGUUUGGAGGGGUCUGACUCCCAUCGAUACAAGCCAGCACUCAUACAUCAAAGAGGACUUUUAAAAUGAUAUUUUUCAGCAUGCUUUUUGGUUGACUCGGGACGCCGAGAUUAUCAAAUAAGGUCUGGACUUUCUUUCCUUUUGUGCAUGGUUUUUUUUCUUAAA